UACAGAGGCCCCGAGCGUUGUUCGGAAUUACUGGGCGUAAAGAGAACGUAGGCGGUCGUGUAAGUCAGAUGUGAAAGCCCUGGGCUUAACCUGGGAAGUGCAUUUGAUACUGCUCGGCUCGAGUGCGAGAGAGGAGAGCGGAAUUCCUAGUGUAGGAGUGAAAUCCGUAGAUAUUAGGAGGAAUACCGAUGGCGAAGACAGCUCUCUGGCUCGCUACUGACACUGAGGUUCGAAAGCAUGAGUAGCAAACAGG
rnacentral:rRNA from 1 species